AACGUAGGUGGCGAGCGUUAUCCGGAUUUACUGGGCGUAAAGGGUGUGCAGGCGGGCUGUUAAGUGGUGUAUGAAAUAUCCCGGCUCAACCGGGAAGGGUUAUGCCAGACUGGCAGUCUAGAGAGCGAGAGAGGGACGUGGAAUUCCGGGUGUAGUGGUGAAAUGCGUAGAGAUCCGGAGGAACCCCAGAGGCGAAGGCGGCGUUCUGGACUGCAACUGACACUGUAAAACGAAAGCCAGGGGAGCAAACGGG
rnacentral:rRNA from 1 species